ACUUCAAGUGAUCCACCCGCCUUGACCUCCCAAAGUGCUGGGAUUACAGGCAUGAGCCACUGCACCCAGCCAGAAGUGGGCAUUAAUAUGCAGGCGCCGUAUAGGGCAACAUCUGUGUGCACCUCUUACAAAUCUUAAUGCUGUGUAUAUGAGGGGAGUCCUUCGUGUCCCCCUGGGGAUGUUUGAGGUUGCCUGUAUGUGUUAUGUGUGUGCAUAUUUUUAAGCUCAGAUAUGCAUAGGCGGAUUGACACCUCUGUUUGAAUGUAUUCCCAUGAGCUCAUGCCAUUAAUUCACCAUCACAAGAAAUAUUUACUGAGCGUGAGCCAUGCCAUUCCACAGACACCAUUAUAGCACUAAGAUACAAUGAGGAACAAAAAAUCCAGGCUUUCUGAGCUCACACUGGGGUGGGGGCAUGGUGGGAAGACACAGGCAUCAAUGUAAUAAACAGAAACCACGACAGGGCUAAGUGUUCUGGAGGAGAGGCGCAUGGUGUACUGAGGCCCCUGACGUAGACCCCAGGUGCACCUUUGAGCUUUGCCUGCAUGGUUUGGGUUUGUGGGCUCACCUGCAUGUGUCCAUGCAUGCCCCAUCUGCGUGCCCGUGCAUGGCUGCAUCACCCCAUGCACACGUGCACUGCCCCUGGGCUUGCCCACAUGUGCUGCUCCCCAGGGCGCCAGGCUAUCAGCCUACAAGGCAUUGUGGGUCUGGGCCCAGCCUGCCACCCCCUACAGAGGCCUGAGCCUGCCUUCCCAGGAGGCCCAGGACUCUCACCCAGGGCCCUUCCCUGCAGCUGGAGCAGGCUCUGUGGCUGCAAUCUGGUGAGCUGGAGACGCAAGAGCCCAGGGGGCUGGUACUCCAGAGCGUGGAGUUGCGGAGGCAGCUGCAGGAGGAGCAGGCCUCCUAGUGGCGCAAGCUGCAGGCCUACCUGGAGGGCCAGCAGCGGCAGGCCCAGCUUGUGCAGCGGCUGCAGGGCAAGGUCAGGGCCACCCAUUCCUGCUCUUUCCCUCCCACGUGUUCACUUUGCCCUGCCCCCACCCCUGGGGCUCACCAUCAGCUCCCAAUCCCCAGAUUCUCCAGUACAAGAAGAGGUUCUCGGAGCUGGAGCAGCUGUUGGAGAGAUCCGGAGAGCUGGAACAGCAGCAGCUGAGGGACGCAGAGCACAGCCAAGACCUGGAGAGUGCCCUCAUCUGGCUGGAGGAGGAGCAGCAGGGAGGGCCAGGGCUGGCAGCAUGGCCCCCUGGGCGAGCGCCUACUGAUCCCCUGUGCCCCAUUCAGGAGUGCCAGCCUGGCCCAGGUGAAUGCCAUGCUCUGAGAACAGCUGGACCAGGCAGGUUUGGCCAACCAGGCUCUGAGUGAGGAGAUACGAAAGGUGACCAGUGACUGGACUCGCAGCUGCAAGGAGCUGGAGCAGUGGGAGGCGGCAUGGAGGCGCGAGGAGGAGGUGGGCAUGGGGGUGCAGGGAGGCCGGCGAUAUAAGAGGAAGAUAAUGCACAAUUAUGCUAGUGAGACUCUCUUUUCCAAUAAUGUUUGCACUUCUCAAUACUACAUUUAAAAAGGAAAUAGGAGCACUUGAACGGUUAAGUAAGAAGAUGAACAAAAUUGAACAGAGGAAAAAUAACUGUCUGAAGACAUGUUGAAAAUACAUUUAAAGACAGUCUGUCUGAGACAGGAGCUGAGCUGGCCAAUCCAUCUUUUAAAUAAUUGAACAUCAUUCAGGUGUCAAGUAUUUGACCUGGAGCCUGGAAGGGGAGGAGAGAGUCCAAAAAAAAGUCCAAAUAUAAAGAAAAAAAAUUAAAGAACUUGUCCCACAAAUCAGGCAACCAAGGUCUAAACUUAUACCCUCUGCCUGGGUAAAUUGUUGUUGCUUCUUUCUGUGACUCUUAAAAGAUGUACCGUAUACCUCAUUUAAUGACUUUGAUUUAUUCAUGAAAACUCUAUCCCCAUGGGAAAAGCUGUUAAAUGAAAAAAGAUUUCUUUUAAGUAGAAAAAUUAUGAAAGGAUUCCUUCCAACCCUCCAUACCCAAAAUAUCUCAAAUGAAUUAUAUAGCUAUCAAUUAUCAAUAUAUAUCAAAAUAUACCAAUUAAAAAUAUCAGUUAAACAAUACGUCAAUUGAACUAUGAAAGCAAGCUUAUUUAAGUAGCAAAGAAUAACGUGAAGGUUAGUAAGUAUAGCUUAUACUUAAAAUACAAUGAAUUGAAAGCUCAUGGCACUUCAUAGAGUAGGAAGAAGAAACUUAAUAGAAAGUGGUAGUUGCGGGAGAAGGACUGCAAGGGAGUUAUUUGGAAAAUGCAUUUUUUAUUUCUGCAUCAUUUUGUUCACAAAUUAUUCUUAAUCUUUUGUGAAUUUGUGGAUUUCUUGAACUCAAACCAGACUUAAAAAUACAGUUAUAGCACAGAAAAAAAUCUUUCAUGGCAAAAUAAAAGCUAAGCAAGAGAGCCUUUCAAAACACAUGAAAAUAACACACACAUACAAAAAAAAAGAAUAAAGAGAUGUACAAGUGACACCUCCUCAACCUUCUCACUUGGUGUACAUAUGCACAGUAAAUUAUUUUGGGCUCAGCCAAGCAUGGGAGCAAUUCAAAUAGAUCCAUAUGAUAUUCUCUGAUUAGAAACUCUUGUGGAGUAAGUUGGUGAGUGUAUCUUUGCCUAAAACAGUCAUGUCAAAAUAUAGCUUUCUAUAGCAUAUUUAUUUAGUAUCAUUUUGGUGAAAAAGUGGUUAUACAGAAUAGAAAAGAGUUGUCCAAAACUAAGUGGUUGACCUUUCCAGAGCCAUUACCUGCAGAAUUGUUAUGUAAGUCUGUUCCAUACUGAUAAAGGAAUACUCAGCUGACCCAACUGAUUUUCUCGUGUUUUUUCCUUCAAGGGCUAGUAGAAGUCUAUAUGUUGUGGUGGAAAACAACCUCAGCCCUAUAGUCCAACAUUUGCCUAUCAAAACUUGUCCUAUGAUUUAUAAAACUAGAACCUCACUGGUAAGUCACAUUCCUAGAGUCUCCCCCAUCCCUAACCCCAGUCACGGAAAAUAAAUCAAAUCAUUGUCACUCUUUCUUAACAAAGAGCAUACAUUUAAAACUUGAGUAAAAUUACAGGUACCGUCUGGGGCCUUCAAGGGGGAGCUUGAAGUCUCAAUACCGCAGUUGUCCAAUCAGAGGAUCCAAGAUGAAUAUACUCAAGGACUUUAUGCUUGGCAUCCUCUGGAGACAGUACAUAACCACCAGCUUGGUUCAACUGGAGAUUCAUUUGGGUUAGGAGAAAUUAUGUAGGCAAUGUACUUAGUCAAUGGAGGCCUUAUGCCUGAAGACUUACAAGAAUCUGAAUUCGUAUGUUACUUUUGCUUUAAUGGAGUGGAAUUCCAAAUGAAAAUAAUCAAACAGCAUGUGCAUAAACAUUAGAUAUAAUACCCACAUUUACAAAGCCUUUAUAGAUAUGCAAGUGUUAUUGCGUCUGUCCCUAGCUUCUGUACAGAAUUUAAUGGGUAGCUGUUACUAUUUUAUUGCUGUAUAAAAAUGAGGAAACUGAUAAGUUGUCUAAAGGUGUACAAUCAAAACACAUCAAAGCCAUUGUGAAAUACAGGUCCCCGGAUUUCAAAAACAGAUCUUCUGCUUAUAAAUUCAGUCUUUUUCAUACUGCCAUAAACUCCAGAAUGGGAAAACAAAGUUACUAUCAGAAAAGCUUCUUUUAGCUGGGCGUGGUGGCUCAUGCCUGUAAUCGCAGCACAUUGGGAGGCCAAGACAGGCGGAUCACUUGAGGUCGGGAGUUCGAGACCAGCCUGGCCAACAUGGUGAUCUCUACUAAAAAUACAAAAAUUAGCUGGGCAUGGUGGUGGACACCUGUAAUUCCAGCUACUUGGGAGGCUGAGGCAGUAGAAUCGCUUGAGCUGGGGAGGCCAAGAUGGCUUAGUGAUCCGAGAUGGCGCCACUGCACUCCAGCCUGGGUGACAGAGUGAGACUCCAUCUCAAAAGAAAAAAGAAAGCUUAUUUUUUCCCCUAAUCACCAUAAUAUUCACUAUUAAGUGAGGGAAAUAGAAAUAAUUUACUUAGCAAAUCCUUUCUAGUUCAAAUAAUUUGUAUACAGGCUGUGCAAACAUAAUAAUGAGAGAUUCUUUUUACUCAUCUUGCUUUAUAUCACUAAUUACACUCUUAUUUAAUGAUAUUUUAAAGAAAAACGUGUUUAUUUUCAAGUAGAAAACUCAUAUCUGUCUACCAAGGAAAGCUGUAACAAAUGUAAAAUACAUAAAAAAGAUAACUGCUAAAUUUCUAAAGCAUUCCAAAAAAAGACAAAUAGAAGGGUGUCAGAUUAGGAAAGUAUGUCUUGUAAGGUGUAACGGACAGACUGAUGAGCUUAGAGAUGUGGAUCUCAAAGUGGUUCUCAGAGCAACAGCAUCAGGGUCACCUGGGAACGUGUUAGAAAUGCAGAUUCUCAGGUACCAUCCCACAUUUAAUGAAUCAGAAGCUCAGAGUAGAGACCAGCAAUUUGUUUUAACAAGUCCUUCAGGGAUUCUGAUACAGCUGAUGUUUGAGAAACACUAGCUUUAGGUGAACGUAAGAGGGUCACGUUAGUAUUUUUAAAUCAUUGGAAGUUGGUUUGUUUUGUUUUUUCUUAAGUGGGACUCAUUUAUACUUCAAUACACAGAAUGGAUAUUUAGAGGAAGUCGUUUUUGACCUAACACAGAUGAGCACUUCCAAUUGAAUAGCGCUUUCUGAUAAUGGGGCUGCCCACUACAAGUGAAUAACUGGGUUUCUCUAGGCUGGAGCUGCAGACAGGUCACUAUGUGUAUGGAGGAUUGUAUUAAUAUGAUCGUGGCUCUUUAUAGCUCUGCAUUACUAAUAUUCUGUUUUAAAGUCUCUCCUCAAUAUCCAAUGUCUCUGUGUGAAUGAUGGUAAGGACUGGGUAACAGUAACAAUCAUCCUGUUGUUGACAACAGAUGAUAAGAGAAAGCCCAACUUUACACUCUGUAUAAUCUUACACCAAUGCCCCAUUCCUCGUCUAAUUUUUUUUUACAUGUUAACACAUGACCUUGGCAUUACUAAAUAAGAAGCCUUCUCACUUAGAACCCGAUGCAGUAUGAUAAAAAUUAUUUUGAGAACAAUCAGGAGCUCUAGUUUUCAAUUCUGUUUCUCUUCUCAAGUAGUUCUGUGCCUUAGUUUCUUCUUUGUAAAUUUAAAUGGUUGGAACAGAGGAUCUGUUAAGUGUGAUUCAAGCUGAAAUUGUAUGUAGCCCACACUGAGUUUCUCUGCUAUACCCCUAACCCAUUCAACAAUCACACCACCAGUUUUCAGGACUCACAGUAGGAUAGCCGUCUAUCAUUUGUUAAUAGGUGUGCUCUUUCAUCCAAACAAGAAACUCAUGAUUUCUGCAGUUUUUUAUUCUAGCCAGGUUCUAGGUGCUGGCCUGGAACUAUAAAACAAACAUUUCACAAAAAGUUAUGACAAUAUACAAAGGAAAGACAAUUUCUUUGAAUAUCCAUAAUCUCAAUAUGCAGUCUGGCUGUGGAUGGCCAAGAGAUAGUUUCCUCAACUGGAAAAAGUUUUUAAAUGAGGCUUGGUGGACGAUAUAUCUUUGCAUCAUUACAAAGAAGAAAAAAGAGAAAUCUCACAACUGAAGAAAGUGAAAUCCACUUUACUUAAUACGGACCUCUGUCUCUGGUGUGCAGGUCCUCUGUGUCCAAAGAUAAUUAGCACUUUAUAAUGCUAAUUAUUAUAAUUAUGUCUGAGAAAAAAAUCAUUAGGGGGUAGGUCCGUUCACUGAUUUUCAACUGCCCCCUCUAUUUAAAAAUAAGGUCAUUUUUCUAUGAAAUAGCUUUAGGAGCUCAAAGCAGAAAGAGGGUUAUAGAAAAUCCUGUGUAGGUAUAAGCCUGAGUUUUUAAUAUUCUUAUAAUUCUGUGAUGUGUCUGGAAACUGAACCGGGAGGAAAACAGUGAACCUAUUUAGUCCAGGAGACUAGAAAUCAGGACUCAGAAGAGUAAACAUUUCUGUAAUAGUUAGUCCUCAAAUAGUCAUUCAUUGACCUUCCACUGGGUGUCUGGCAAUGUGCAAGCUGUUUCUAGAUGCUACCUCAUGUAACAACCAUCAGAGUUGCACAAAGCAAGUACUAGUACUCCACUUUCAUAGACAAAGAAGUAAAAUCUUAGAAAUUAGCUGCCCAAUGUCAUGUAUGUAGGAAAGGAAAGCAGCAUUCUGAUCCAUAUUUGCUGGCUCCAAAGCACUUGUUGUAAAUACUUCACUAUCCUGUGCUUACACGUAAAUGUACCAUUUCUCUUAGGGGUCUUGAAAUACUGAAUCAAAGAAUGGUGUAGGGGAAGGGCAGUUUAGAAAUACCUGGAAAUUUGGUUGUUUGAAGGAAGCCCACUCUCAGAUGGUAGGAGAUCAAUCUAACAGAAUAGCUGAGAAUAUUUUCUGAGAGCCCCAGAAGUAUAAAAACGGUCUAGGGGGGAAAAUUUGGGACACAGAGUGAAAAUAGCCUGCCUCUGAAGACCAGCUUCAUUUCUUCCCCUCUGGGUGUUAAUGAAAGAGCCUUUAACUUUGCCAGGCCUCAGUUACUAAUUUCUAAAACAACUGCUGCUACUAUUACUACGGAUCUUACUGCUACUAUGACCACCACCACCACCACCACAUCAGUUACUGAGAACUGAACUAGAUGCCAAGCAAAAAUGGUAAACACUUCAUAUACAUUAUCUUUUUAAACACAAAAUGUACUAUUAAUCCAGUUUUACAUAUAAGAAAACUGAGGCUCAAAGAGGCUAAGUAAUUUGUAUGUGAACAUGCUUUACACUAUGUAAAACAUCUUAGUAGAUAUCACUAUUAUUAAGAACCUAUCAGCCGGAGAGGAAGAAUUGGCCUUUUAUCUUUCUAAGAUGCACAGUUGUCUUUCUGUUUAAUGUUUUUUUAAAAAUCCCCCUGUGACAAGCUCCAGAGGACAAAUAAUUUAUUUCUUGGGGUGUAUGGCUCUCUAAAUGAAUUAAUUGAUAGGCAUCCCAUUGUCAGUCUCAGGGAUGUGGAAAUAAAACAGACAUGAGAUGUUUUUUACCAAACUAAUUUGUGCUUUAGACACAUAAAUAAUAAAUAUAUAUAUAUUAAAGUAAAUGUGUAUUUACCGUCUCUCCUGCUCCACUUUGAAUUCAAGAACCCGUGUCUUUGUUGGGUCACUGCACUGUCAAUUGAGAAGUUUGGUUUUGUUUCUUUGAGUGUUAGUAAGUGGCAUUAAAUAGUAAAUAUUGCCGGGGGAAAGAAAGGAGAAAAACAGCUCCUCCAAUCCAUCCCUGUUUCCAUUCAAUUAAAGGAGGGUAGAAAGAAUACUUAAGAUAAUUGUAAUAAGUCUACUAGAAUAGCAGGAGCCACUCUUUUCCUUUCAGUAGGCCAUUAGCUCAGAACUAUUUUCAUAGUAAUACUAAGAUGAUAUUUGCCUUUUCACUGUGUUGGCACUUGUAUUGAUAAGGCAAAAGCAGUGGAGUCUUAGCAAAAAUUAAGACCAUGAAAACAAACUGCACUAGGAAUAAUUCUCUUCUUUAUUACUGUUUACUUGUAGGGGGAAAAACCAUUUUCAUUUAAGAAAGUCCUUGGUGAAGUAGUAAAAAUAUUAAUUUUAUUAAAUCUCAACUUUGAGUACAAGUCUUGUCCUUGACUGUACUUACAAGUUUUGUCCUCCCCAAAGCAUAUGGCGUCAAGGCUGGGCCUAACCCAGUCUCAUGACCUUGUGAAUCCAGUCCACAAACACAGAGACAAGCGUGAAGACGGCUGGCCAGCGCGACCUUGCACAUACUCAGUUGGGGAUUCUAAUUCCUUUCAGGACCCAGCAGUUGUGGGUAAAGCAGGCAAGUGGGCCCCCGUAGUCACUCUGGCAGGUAGGAGAACUGAUGAGGGCCCCGGGCCACAGCCAUGACUAGCCUGCUUCAUGAUAAAAUAGUUCAUUUCUAGCCCCCCAUACCCUUCCAGGGCUGGCCCAGGGCCCUGCUACCAACCUCACAGGCCCCCACAGGGGCCAACAGUCCCUCAGUGCACAUCUCGCUCUCCCGCACAUGUCCUCGGUGCUUGAUGUUACACUCCUGGUUGGAGAUGACGUUCAGCAAGGCCACAUUUAGGACUGUGUCAUUACCCGUACCUGCAGUGAGGGGAAUGGGGAGAAGGAGACGGUCCUGGAGGAAGAUCCAGGGCUGGGCCUCCUGGCCACCAGCAGUCCUGUGCACUAUGCUCUUACCUUUGGUCUCACCCCAGCCUGCAAUCUCACACUUGGUCCCUGGAGGCACCACAUAUCAUUCAGGCGGCAGGCAGAUCAGGGCCACACGCUGGUUCAGGGUCACAGAUCUUUAGCAAGAAUGGGGGCACUCAGGGUCUGAGGCCACAAGGCUCAGCCCCACCUCACACCCUCCCAGGUUGUCCACAUACCUCUCCAGCUUGAGCAGGACAAGCUGGGAGCCUGAGGGCCCACACAGCAUCUUGGCUACUGGGACCCGCUGUAGGCCUGGCUCUCCAUGUUGUGGGUUCUGGAACAGGGUGCCCAACCAUACCUCAUAGCCCGUGAGAGGCAUAUGGCUGGGAGAGAAGCUCUGCUAGGUCAUUUGUGACUCUCAGUCCAUUGCCCCAAGGCUCACUUGUUAGCUUGCCUGGGGAAAGGGGAAGGUGGGAUGAGACUGGGUCCCCAAACACAAGGGAGGCUCACCAGGAGGAGAAGCACUGCCGGGCAGUCAGUAUCCACUGCUCCUUCACUAGAGACCCCCCGCAGAAAUGCUGGCCCUGCCUAGAGGAGUGGGGAAUUAGGACAGG